rnacentral:rRNA from 1 species
UGCGGAAUUUUAGAUAAUGGAGGGAACUCUGAUCUAGCGGCGCCGCGUGCAGGAAGAAGGUCUUCGGAUUGUAAACUGCUGUGGUAAGGGAAAAAUGCUAUGUAGAGUGGAAAGAUACAUAGAGGGAUGGUACCUUACUAGAAAGCCCCGGCUAACCACGUGCCAGCAGCCGCGGUAAUACGUAGGGGGCGAGCGUUACCCGGAAUCACUGGGCGUAAAGGGAGCGUAGGUGGCCUAACAUGUCAACUGUGAAAACCCGGAGCUCAACUCCGGACUUGCAGUUGAAACUGGUAGGCUUGAGGACGGUAGAGGAAGACGGAACUGCCAGUGUAGGGGUAAAAUCCUUAGAUAUUGGCAGGAACGCCGGUGACGAAGGUGGUUUUCUGGGCCGGUUCUGACACUGAGGCUCGAAAGCCAGGGGAGCGAACGG